rnacentral:rRNA from 1 species
GAUGAACGCUGGCGGCGUGCCUAAUACAUGCAAGUCGAGCGAACAGACGAGGAGCUUGCUCCUCUGACGUUAGCGGCGGACGGGUGAGUAACACGUGGAUAACCUACCUAUAAGACUGGGAUAACUUCGGGAAACCGGAGCUAAUACCGGAUAAUAUAUUGAACCGCAUGGUUCAAUAGUGAAAGACGGUUUUGCUGUCACUUAUAGAUGGAUCCGCGCCGCAUUAGCUAGUUGGUAAGGUAACGGCUUACCAAGGCAACGAUGCGUAGCCGACCUGAGAGGACGGGGGGCCACCAUGAAGCAAACCCAGGAUACGGACGCAAGCGGGAGGCAGCAGUGGGGAUUAAUCCAUAAGUGUCGAAAGAUGGAAAGACCAUGUUCGAGUGAAAGAAGAAGUUUUUAAGAAAGUAAACCGCUGUUAUUAGGAAAGAAAAAAAAUGUAAGGAAUAACGCACUUCGAGAAGGCGCCUAAGAGGAGAGCGAGGACUCACCUCAU